UCUUCAUUCCUUCCUAUUCGUUGACCUUUUACAUGUCUUUAGAAUAUUAGAGACAUGUAAAAGGUCAACGAAUAGGAAGGAAUGAGGA
rnacentral:miRNA from 1 species